UUUUUUUUUUUUAAUCUUUUCUAGGGGUUGAGUAGGAGCUGUAGCCACCGGCCCAUGCCACAGCCACAGCAACACGGGAUCUGAGCCACAUCUUUGACCUAUGCCACAGCUCAGAACAACACCAGAUUCUUAACCCACUGAGUGAGGCCAGGGAUUGAACUCACGUCCUCAUGGAUACUAGUCAGGUUCAUUAACCGCUGAGCCAUGAUGGGAACUCCUAGAAAUUCUAUAUAGAAAUGAAUGUAUCUUUGGCAAUCUUUUUCUUCACUACACCUCUUCUGUCUAAAAGUGGACAUUUUAGAAAACUUGUGAGUUCUUAAUUGGAGAAAACAAAGAAAUUGUAAAGAGUAGCACCAGCCUAGAAGACACUCUUUGCUGCAGGGUUGAUUAUGCAGCCCUCCUUUGAAUUUCUUCACUCCCCUUUUUUAUGUGGCUUAAAAUCCCACUGAUUAUAAAGAUUCACUUGGUUCCCAGGCAUACUCUUCUAAAAAUGUCAAUUUUUUAAAAAGAGGUAAAGUUAUUAGUCAUUUAAAAAUCAGUGCCAAUUACUUUAAUCAGAUUGCUUUCCUAUUGGCUGUGAUACAACUUCACUGAAUGGAAGGUAUUUAUUUUUCUAGCUUUUCUUCUCACUUGAGAAAUAAAACACAAUGGGGGUGAAAAAUUCAAUCCGAACAAAAAGAUUUACUGUUUAAAUAAGUCUCCUUUUCACCCCAAAUCCAAUAUUCUUUUCCUCGUCAAUGUAACAAUUACCAAACAUUUCUGGUGACUAUUUUAUCUAGAGAUAUAUUCUGCAUGCAGAGUCAUACAUAGGUAUUAACACACAUAUACACACAGCACAGUUAUAUAAAAAUCCUUUUGUUUUAUCCAAAUGAUUAUAUAUUAUGUACAUUAUUUUGUACCCUUCAAUUUUUUUCAAAAUAUCAUUGAAGAACUUUUUAAAUCAGCAUAUAUACCAGCUACAGUCUUAAAAAUCCCUGUUAAAGUAUAUAUAGUGAGGAAAGUAGUUCUAUAUUUUUGGAAGCAUAGAGAAUUUUGUGUUAAUAUUUUAUUAUGAAGGCAACAGUGUCCUGGGGCCUAUGAAGUUAAACUUUAAGAGAAAGAAGAAGAAUGGUGUGGCCUGGGAUAUUAAUUCCCAUGUAUGACAUUUUUCCCAUAGAAAAUAAUCCUCUGAGUUCCUAACAAUUGGCAAUGUAUCUGGAUUUCCCUAGGAUAGCCCCCAUUUAUGCUUGCUGUUCUGGUGUUAUUUUUGAUCACUUUCCUUCUCAAAGUGGUCCUGGACUGGAUGACAAUUAUGCAAUCACCAUUGCGAUAACUAAUUGACAAAUUAAGUCGUUGGGAUCAGCAGCAAAGAUUAAAAAGGAAGCCUAAACCACCUGACAGUGGGGGUUUUUCUACUUGGGACCUGGCUUUAGCUACUUAGGAGCAGUAUGAUCUGGGUAAGCUAUUUAACUGUUUUUGCCUCAGUUCCCUCAGCUUUCUAAAGGGAAUAACUGCCUCAUAGUGGAACAAUAAACAUUUAAUUAAGAAUUGCCCUUGAGGAGCUUAUCACAAUGUCUGGUUCAUAUUUAGGGCUCAAUAAAUGUACCUGCUUAUAUUACUUAUUAUUUUCACCAUUUCCCCCUUCCCUGCCAGACUACUUUAUUCUGUGUAAAAAUGUGUAAAAUUCUGAUGGAACAUGAUGGAGGAUAAUGUGAGAAAAGGAAUGUAUAUGUAUGCAUGACUAGGUCACUUUGCUGUACAGCAGAAACUGACAGAAUAUUAUAAAUCAACGAUAAUAAUUUUUUUAAAUGUAUAAAGUUCUAUUGACUGAGAUACAUUUAGGUGAACAGCCAUCAUCCCCCAACAAAGGGUCGUGGUCUAGCCAUUUAAGAAAAACAAGGUGAGGGCGGGACAGUGAUUGUUUCUGAAGGGGCUCAUCAGCCCGCCCACCCUCAGCCCCACAGCAGACUGGAAAGCGAGGUCGAGUUUGAAGGGAGACAGCCCUUUGUACUUUAGACUUGAUAAAGAUUUUUAUAGUAGAUAUUUUUAAUUUUAACAACAUUAGAAAAGGAUGUGUAUGUUUUCUCAAGCAAAGAGGAAAUGCAUUUGAAAUGAUAGAGUUAAACCGCUGUCGCCGUUUGUACAUCACAAGUGGAGCCGCCUGAAUCUCUGGUUAAUGGAGUCACUUCAGAGAGAGGGCUCAGGAGAACUUACAACCAAUCAUGUAAAAUGAUACAUCUCAGUAUCCUGUUUAUUAUCUCCCCUCAAAGCAUCACUGAGUGGAUCUCCCUCUGGCUGAAGCUACAUACCAAACAGUGGACAGGACAAUUGUUUGUUCAACCUGGAAACUCCUGAGGCAUUUUAGGGUAGGAGAAAGGAACUUUUUUCUUUUUUCUCCUAGUUUUUAGGGCUGCUCCUGCAGCAUAUGGAGGUUCCCAGGCUAGUGGGUGAAUCUGAGCUACAGCUGCCAGCCCACACCACAGCCACAGCAACGCCAGAUCCGAGCCAGGUCUGUAACCUACACCACAGCUCACAGCGACACAGGAUCCUUAACCCACUGAGGGAGACCAGGGAUUGAACCCUCAUCCUUGUGAAUACUAGUUGGGUUCUUAACCCACUGAGGCACAGUGGGAACUCUGAAAGGAACUUUGACUCAGGGUAGGAGUGGAGUGGGAGGAUGGAGCUACAGAAGGAGCAGGAACAGGUAUUUUCUCUUUGUAUUCAUUUUCUUAAAAUUGAAUUAGGUUUCUGUGAAAAGCUGUUUUGUUGAGUAACAACCUCUCUUUGGUUUCACAAGCUGAGACAUAAAAUGCUACUUGGGGUGUGCUGUAGGUUCUGAAUGCAGGUGAAAAUGCCCUACUUACUGGUUAUUUUAAUGAUAAUAAGAAUAAUGUUUUGUACAUAACUGGACCCACUUAUACCAGGGAUCC
rnacentral:lncRNA from 1 species